ACGCUCGACACCUACGGAGGCAGCAGUGGGGAAUAUUGCACAAUGGGGGGAACCCUGAUGCAGCGACGCCGCGUGAGGGAAGAAGGUUUUCGGAUUGUAAACCUCUGUCCUUGGUGACGAUAAUGACGGUAGCCAAGGAGGAAGCCACGGCUAACUACGUGUCAGCAGCCGCGGUAAUCUGAGCGGGCUGGCAAGGC
rnacentral:rRNA from 1 species